rnacentral:rRNA from 1 species
CUAUAAUGCAAGUCGAAGCGUUGGCCCAAUUGAUUGAUGGUGCUUGCACCUGAUUGAUUUUGAAUUGCCAACGAGUGGCGGACGGGUGAGUAACACGUAGGUAACCUGCCCAGAAGCGGGGGACAACAUUUGGAAACAGAUGCUAAUACCGCAUAACAGCGUUGUUCGCAUGAACAACGCUUAAAAGAUGGCUUCUCGCUAUCACUUCUGGAUGGACCUGCGGUGCAUUAGCUUGUUGGUGGGGUAACGGCCUACCAAGGCGAUGAUGCAUAGCCGAGUUGAGAGACUGAUCGGCCACAAUGGGACUGAGACACGGCCCAUACUCCUACGGGAGGCAGCAGUAGGGAAUCUUCCACAAUGGGCGCAAGCCUGAUGGAGCAACACCGCGUGAGUGAAGAAGGGUUUCGGCUCGUAAAGCUCUGUUGUUAAAGAAGAACACGUAUGAGAGUAACUGUUCAUACGUUGACGGUAUUUAACCAGAAAGUCACGGCUAACUACGUGCCAGCAGCUGGCGGUAAUACGUAGGUGGCAAGCGUUAUCCGGAUUUAUUGGGCGUAAAGAGAGUGCAGGCGGUUUUCUAAGUCUGAUGUGAAAGCCUUCGGCUUAACCGGAGAAGUGCAUCGGAAACUGGAUAACUUGAGUGCAGAAGAGGGUAGUGGAACUCCAUGUGUAGCGGUGGAAAUGCGUAGAUAUAUGGAAGAACACCAGUUGGCGAAGGCGGCUACCUGGUCUGCAACUGACGCUGAGACUCGAAAAGCAUGGGUAGCGAACAGGAUUAGAUACCCUGGUAGUUCCAUGCCGUAAACGAUGAGUGCUAAGUGAUUGGAGGGUUUCCGCCCCUUCAGUGCCCGGGAGCUAACGCAUUAAGCACUCCGCCCUGGGGGAGUACGAACCCGCAAAGGGUGAUACUACAAAUGAAUUGAAUCAGGGGGGCCGCCCCCACACCGGGUGUGGACACAUUGGUGGUUUUAUUUCCGAAAAGGCUACGGCGAAGAGAAACUCUUUAACCGAGCUU